GACGAACGCUGGCGGCGUGCCUAAUACAUGCAAGUUGAGCGCUGAAGGCUGGUACUUGUACCAACUGGAUGAGCAGCGAACGGGUGAGUAACGCGUGGGUAAUCUGCCUUUGAGCGGGGGACAACAUUUGGAAACGAAUGCUAAUACCGCAUAAAAACUUUAAACACAAGUUUUAAGUUUGAAAGAUGCAAUUGCAUCACUCAAAGAUGAUCCCGCGUUGUAUUAGCUAGUUGGUGAGGUAAAGGCUCACCAAGGCGAUGAUACAUAGCCGACCUGAGAGGGUGAUCGGCCACAAUGGGAAUGAGACACGGCCCAAAAUCCUACGGGAGGCAGCAGGAGGGAAUCUUCGGCAAUGGACGAAAGUCUGAACGAGCAACGCCGCGUGAGUGAAGAAGGGUUUCGGAUCGUAAAACUCUGUUGGUAGAGAAGAAAGUUGGUGAGAGUGGAAAGCUCAUCAAGUGACGGUAACUACCCAGAAAGGGACGGCUAACUACGUG
rnacentral:rRNA from 1 species